UACGUAGGUGGCAAGCGAUACUCGGAAUCACUAGGCGUAAAGCGCAGGUAGGCGGCUCGAUAAGUCUCUUGUGAAAGCUCCCGGCUCAACUGGGAGAGGUCAAGGGAAACUGUUGGGCUAGAGUGUGGUAGAGGAAACUGGAAUUCCCGGUGUAGCGGUGAAAUGCGUAGAUAUCGGGAGGAAUACCUAUGGCGAAAGCAGGUUUCUGGGCCAUCACUGACGCUGAGCUGCGAAAGCUAGGGAGCAAACAG
rnacentral:rRNA from 1 species